UAGUGAUGAUCUACUCAUGAUGAGUUGGCAAUUACGAUUUCUUUCAAAAAUUUUUCUGCUCCGAGCGCGUUUCUUAUAUGUUUUAACUGAGAAAAAUGACGGGUACAUGUUGAUGUUACUUUAUAAUAAAACAUUUACUUGAAAUCUUGGAUAGUGGAUCCCAUCAUAGUAUUCAAUUAAGAUCGCAAUAUUUUCCAAUGUGACAAUUCUUCAAUUAAUGACAUAACAUUCAAGCGGAACUACCAGCGAAGGGUAAGAUAUGCUACCGAAAGUGAUGCAAAGUCAGGGAUCCUAUGAUAAGGUUAGGAUUAUUGUCUGCAAGGAUGAAUCUGAUGCGAAGUCACGGCAGCUCUAGGAAAAGUCACGUGCGAGCGCCUCUGGCGCAACAAAAAGAAGCCCAAGGAGGUGAGUUCUAAGUUAACGAACAAACUCGAUCCGAAAUCCGGAUGUAAGUAUAAUUAUGUAUUUUCUAAGUACGCAUGCCAUGUGGAAUUAUCAUAAACAGUUAUAAAUGAUAAUCGGUAACCAUGAUAUUUAAUCAAUGAAUUUGUUGUCAAAACUGUUUUGCACGAUCAAAACAUUUAUUUCGCCGCUCCAAAAUUCACACUACGGAGAACCGCAAAGAAAGAUGCAUGACAUUAUUAAAAUUCCUUACGGAACGCCACAAAACUCCGAAGAUUAUAAGAAUAUCAAGAUAGAAUGCGUGCGCCAACUGGAAAGAAUAUGCAUUGAACAGGAAAUGGAUAGAGAGUACUAGAUUUUACAGACACUAAAAUUUGCAGACGAUCAAUAACUACAUAUUUAUGACAGUUUAAAAUCUCGACGAAAAAAUAAGUAUUAUUUCCGAACUAAAUAUAACACAAUUUCAGGAGUCAAAGUCGUCGCAGAUCGGCGAUCUGCGGACGAUCCCGCGAACAGCUGCACGUCAAUACGAAAAAGUCUAUAUAAGAAUGUCGCGAAUUUCAUAAAUAGCCAUUAGUUAUUUCAUUACUUCAUGACGGACUAUAAGAUAUAAGUACCUAAGAUUACUGGGUACAGCUAACACUCAAGAGAUACAUGUAAGAAAGGGAAGGAGAACAAAACGUUCAUCAGACGCACAUUGUCAACAGUAACAGCAUUUAUGUACAAUUCAAAUGACAAAUAAAAAUAUAGUGGAAGUGGAUUGGAUUAGGGCUCU